GUCAUGGCAGGUGUUAUUACAUGCAUUGAUAAGAUGACACCUGAUCCUGAGUUGAGAGACAAGGUUCUUGAUGAGUUGGAGAUCUACAAAAGUGCAGAGGGGAGACUCUUCUCAUCACAACUAGCAAUUGAUAGGAGAGGAAAACAACAACCAGAUUUAUGGUGGGAGAAUUAUGGUGCUGGCACGCCUAAUCUUCAAAAGAUAGCUAUCCGUGUUUUGUCUCAGCCAUGCAGUGCUUCUGGGUGUGAACGAAAUUGGAGUGUCUUUGAAAGCAUUCACACAAAGGAGAAAUAGAUUGUCACAAAAGCGGCUCAAUGAUCUAGUAUUUGUUCGGUACAACCUUCGCCUUCGAGUUAGACAGGUGGAGGGUGUUUCACAUGAGGCCAUUGACUUGGAUGAAAUUGAUCCAUAUGGUGAUUGGACCAUGAAUAAACAAAAUGAUGGUGAUGAUGUCCUCCUUACCGAAGAAGAAAUUGCAGAAAUAGAGAGAGGAGCAGCACAAGAUGCAGAAGGAGCAAGAUUGGAUGAAGAUGAGGACGAAGAUGAGGAUGAUGAUGAGGAUUAUGACUUUGAAGAAGAAUCAUCUCACCAUUUAGAUACCACAACACCCACUGCUACUACUUCUAGCUCAAGGCCUGAAAAAUUGAGCUAUAUUAGGAAAAAUACAAAGAGGAAGAUGUAGUCUUCUCUUUGGUUUGUUCAUUCACAUUGCUGUUUUUCACAUUUGCAGUUGGACUUGGACAUAUCAUUAUAUGUAAUUUUGUGAACAUUUAUAUACUUAUGCUGCCAUUAUAGUAUUAUACAUUUUAGAGUUGAAACUUGAAACUUGAAUAUGCUGCCAUGAAUGAUGAAAUUUCAAAUAUUGCAUGUUUGUACUUUGUAGAUCAUAUGACAUGUGUAAUGUUUCAAUUAUGACACUUAUGUUCUCUAAAUGCAUUAAUUUCUUUAUGUUUUUUUGUAAAACUACGGUUUUUUUUUUUGCCGAGUCUUUCGCGAGUCCGAGUCCGAGUCCAAAAUUUUGGUUUGCCGAGUCCUAGGCGAGUCCGAGAUUUUCAACUAUGGUUUAUACUAUCAUGCUUGUAGCAGUUUGGUCUUUAAAAUUAUUACUCUAAGUUUAGACUUUGCUCUCUUUUUUUUUUUGGCAGUUUUUGCUAUUAUGUUUUUAAGUUUUUCUGUAGCUGCAGUUUUAUUUUCAGCUAAAGUACAAAGGUUUGAAAGUAUACAUCCCAUGCAUUGGCUUACAUAGGGAUCCUCUUUCCACCUUCUAAUGACGUGUCACCGAUUAGAUUAUUUUUGGGGACUAUACCCAAAAUUACUCUCUACAAGAAAGAUUUGUAUUCAGGUGGUGCAUUUUGAUUGGUUGAAGAGACGGAGAGGAAAGUCUUUAGGUUUGAUUACCCUUGAUCUUUAGGGCUUUGUUUUCUUACCCAAACUCUAUUUAUUUGCAACCUUGUCAUACAUCUCUACAAGAAAGCAUUGUUUCCAGUUGGCGUCAAGCAUAAUGUUUUCAAAAGCUUGAGCCUUUGAAACCAUCAUUUUCCCCAAUGAUGGUUCCACAUUAAUGGUUCCAAGGCAAACAAACUGUAUGGAAAACCAUCAUUUUCCCCAAUGCUUUCCUUAUCUUCUUCUUCAACUCUACUUCGCUUUGCAUUCCUUCCUACGGGUAGUGUGCUGUUCAUGAUGGCUUUCGCAUCAUGUCUGCUUGUGUCAAAGUUUGUAACAGCUGUUUUUCCUCUAGAUUUAAUGGCAGCAAUGUCAUAAGCCUCUGCAGCAUGUUCCUGAUCGUCUGUGGGUUCAAACAAGAAUCAUUAGCCUUUUCAUCUGGUUUGAUUAUUGGAUUACUUUCCUUUUAUUCUACUUCAACUCUAAGAAGGGUUUAAAUCAUUGUAUUCAGGUGGUUCACUUUGAUUGCGUGAAGAGACGGAGCAGAAUGUCUUUCUAAUAAGGUUUAUUAGUAGGGUUUGCAGAAGCGUUGCAGUAAAACAUUAUUAUUUUUUAAGCAUCAAAAGUUUUGUAUCUGGGAACAUUCGACAAUCUGGAAGAGGCUGCCUAAGCUUAUGACAUUGCUGCCAUUAAUUUCAGAGGAUAAAAUGCUGUGACAAACUUUGACAGAAGGAGAUAUGAUGUGGAAGGUAUCAUGAACAGCGCACUGUAUUUAGGAAGGAAAGCAAAGCAGAGUUGAAGUAGAAGAUAAGGAAAGUAAUGGUGACAAUGAUGAUUUUCCAUACAAUCUGUUUUGGCUUCGAAAGUACACCAUUAAUUUGGCAAGCACUGGGAACAUAUAUUCCGACACAGAUUGCACUGCACCAAAAACCAUUAAUUGGCAUGCAAUCUCAAUAACCAUGGCAACUAACCGUGGACUGAUUAUGAGAGAAUCCUCUCUUCCAUCACAGAUUUCUCUGUCAGCUCCAUUCAGCUAUACUGAGAAGGAUUAGUUGUUUCGAAGGCACAAGCCUUUCAAAAAAUGCUCUCGUUGGGUACCUCCACAUUGUUCUCUCCUGGGCAGUCCUCAGUACUUGUGAGAGCUGGUCAUGCGUACCUAAUGCCUGAUAGAAUCUGCAAAACACCCUUUCUUCAGUAUUCAGAAAGUGGGCCUAGUGAAGGAGCAGCAUGUCAGCCUCCUACUAUGUUCAAUAUUUGGAGUGAUAUAAGGAUGUCAAAAUCUUCAAACAAGAUACUACCUGUCUCACAUCAAUGUUUAGGGUGUUCUGUCAUGAUUUUCACAUUUUGAAGAUAUGGGUCGUCUCUUGAAGGAGCUUUCUCUCUAUAUUUUAUUGCUGAAGAGUGCUCUGUUUAAACUUAUCUUAUGAUACCUUUAAAACUUAUAAAACAUGGUUUUUACAUUUUGAAGACAUAGGUCUGAUCUUUUCAAUAUAUCUAAUCUUGAAGGAAUUUACUCUCCUUUUUAUGUUGCGGGUCGAACAUUCAAGUAAAAAAAUGUUCAAACCAUUUUGUUGUAACUUUAGGAAUAUAUUUAGUCUUGGAUAAGUUUUCUCCCCA